rnacentral:lncRNA from 1 species
CCUAGCUGUCCUGGAACUUCCUCUGUAGACCAGGCUGGCCUCGAACUCAGGGACCCUCCUGCCUCUGCUUCCUGAGUACUGCCCCUGAAGGCAGGCACUACCCCCACCUAGCUUUAGUUUUUAAACUGGUGUCUGGAUGCAUGUGCCUGUGUGUCUGUGUGUGUGUGUGUGUGCCGUGAGCGUGUGUGUGUGUUCUUGAAGUCCAGAGAGUGAACUCUGGAAGAUCAGCAAAUACUUUCAACCACAGCGCCAUCUCUCAAGCCCCCGCUUUGGUUUACACUGUGCGUUCAUAGGGAGGUCAGAGGACAGCUUGUAGGAAUCAGUUCUUGACUUCCCCCAUAUGGGUUCCCGGGAACACACUCAGGUUGUCACUCGUGCCCAUUUCACCAGCGCCAUCUUGUUUGGGGGGCCAGUGUUUCAGAUAAGCUAAUGAACCCACGAGCUUCCAGGACAGUUUUCCUGUCUCCACCUUCUACAUCACCUUAGGAGUGCCAGAGUUACAGAUGUGAGCCACCUGUCUGGCUUGUUGUGGAUUUCAGGGUUCAGACUCAGGUUGCCAGGCGUGAAUGGCAAGCGCCCUUGUCCUCCUCACGGUCCCCGCCCCGUAGCCGCUUGUAGCAGAAAGUAUUUUACUGCAAUGGUUCUUUGCAAAUUCCUGACCACUACCUCUCGCCUUCUUCACAGAUUUCCUCUCCUUUCCUUCAUCGGCCAGGCAGAACUCCACUUUCUAUCCUGAACCCCCUUCUUGUCUGUCUCUCCUUCCCAUUUGGCAAGGUAACACCGAAGUUUGAGGUAGACGAGCAGGCGAGCCGUUUGCCCGGGCGCAGAGCAUGAAGGCCGGGCGGGCGCGGGGAGCGGGCGCCCGCCGCCCGGCGCGGGGGUGAGCGAGAGAGAGAGCGGAGCGCGUGUGGCCGGCGCCGCUCGGCCUGGAGCUCCCGCGCCCGCGCCCCGCGCCCCGCGCCCGCCGCCGCCGCCGCCGCCGCCCCUGGUGCGAUGGCGCAGAAACCCCGUUGACAAGGCACUGCUUUUUCAUGACGGUGAGUUUCCCUUUGAGUGUAUUAUAAUUUUGUGAUAAAAAUUUCAAGGAGAGAGAAAAAAAACACACACACACACAACCUCCUUCCUCUGCCUCUUUUUUCCUUCGGGGAGGGGAGAAGCGAGGGAAGGAGAAGGGGGUGGGGGGAGAGGAGAGGAGAGGAGGAGAGCUGGAGAUAGAUCUCCAGCCAGACAGAAAAGAAAGAGGAGCAAAUUAAACACCGAGUUGCCAAAACCAGGAUAUUAGGUUUCAGCCCAGAGAGCUAUUGGCUAAGGCUGUGUUUUUUUUUUUUUUUUUUUUGGGGGGGGGGUGGGUUUGUGGGUGGGUGAUGGUGGUGGUGGGUGGAUGUUUAAUGGACACGGAGAAAAGGGGAAUCGAGUGUGGAUGCCUCUCCCGGCGCCGCCAGGGCCCUGGGAAGACCAAGUUCAGUGUCUCGGGCGGGGGCGCGGGCGGGCCGGGGCCGGGGGGCGCCGCGGCCGCGUGGGG